rnacentral:rRNA from 1 species
AUGUUUGGUUGUGUUUGCUAUGUCCUUGCCCCACGUGAAUGCACCAAACUGACUGCUCAGUCCGUUGUGUGUGUCUUCUUAGAAUACCACUAUGAGCAUAAGGGAUAUCGCUAUUGGGAUCAUGUUGGUCGCAGGAUGACUAUUUCUCGGGAUAUGACUUUUGAUGAGUCUCGUCCCUACUACCCGCGUCCAUCUUCCUCUACCUUUUCAGUGGACUCUUUCCACAAUUUUCCCGACACUCCUAUCACUCCUGUUGAGCCCUUAUCCAUUCGUCAUACUACUCCUGCUUCUCCGACUAUUGCAGAGCCAACACCAUCAUCUCCUAUGAUUUCCUCACCUCAUUUAUCACAGGAUUCUACACCAUCAUCACCAGUGGCUUCCUUGUCUCCAUCACCUUAG